rnacentral:rRNA from 1 species
UACGUAGGGGGCAAGCGUUGUCCGGAAUCACUGGGCGUAAAGCGCGCGCAGGCGGUCAUCUGCGUCCGGGGUGAAAACCCAGAGCUCAACUCUGGGACGGCCUUGGAUACGGGGUGACUUGAGGGUCGGAGAGGCAAGGGGAAUUCCACGUGUAGCGGUGAAAUGCGUAGAGAUGUGGAGGAACACCUGUGGCGAAGGCGCCUUGCUGGCCGAUUUCUGACGCUGAGGCGCGAAAGCGUGGGGAGCAAACAGG